GCAAGUUCAAUAAACCUACAUCUGCUUAACUACAUCUAUGCUCCUGGAGGUCUUUGACUGGUGGACUUAUACAACAGUUCUUGAGGUCAUCCAUGAACUAUGCGGAAAUGGAACAAAGCCAGAAUCCUGGAGAACUUCAAUAUUUAAGAAGCAGGAAGAAAAAAAACAGCUAGGAAAGAAUUCAGAGAACAAAAAAGUCAAGUGGCAGAAGAACUAGAUCUACACAUGGCGAGCGUUAAGCAGAGGGCCACUGGGACCCGGUUGGACCAGCUGAGGACAGCUGGGGUCAGAAGGAAGGGAAGAGGUCCACGUGGGAUGACAUGUGCUUGGUAUUAGAUACUGCAGGAAGGAACCAGUUACAAUUCAGAAAGGAAACCCCUGGCAAGAAAGAUCAUGAAGAUAGGAGACUGUGGCAGCCAUGAGAAUAAGUCUCUCACUUCUCCACUGCAAGGGCUGGAACAGACCCACCGCCUGCUACUGCGCUCUGAGAUCCACCAGCACAUUCACCCCCGGCAGCCGCGCUUCCCACGGGCUGGGAAUUAUCUCAUUUUAUUUAAUUCUCACAAUGAAGCAGGUCUUAUGAUGAGCCCCAUUUUGCAUUUGAGGACAUCGAAGCUUAAAGACAUUAUGCAAUUCCCCCAAAGUUACGUGGCUAGUAAAGGACAGGCUCUCCUACCUGAUCCAUUGUGCAGGUACCAUGUGCCAGGUGCCAGGUGCCAAGCCAGGAUCAGCAGGGAGGUUAUUUCGCACACUCCUCACUAUAAAGCAGUAGAAAUGCCAGCACCAGGAGUCCAGCAGCGACAACAGAGACGGAGACACACUGCCCGAGGACAGACAGCUAGCAAGUCAAAGGGCGAGAUUCAAGCCGUGAUGGCCAGUUCCAGACAGAAGUGUUUAACCACUGCCCAUUCUCAGACAGAGCAAGGCUCCAUCUGCCAAAUUACACGGGGAAUAGGCAACUCAGGUGGCUGAAUUUGGUCCAAGACUUGCUUGCAUUGUAAGGCAUCACCGAGAAGCGAGGUUUCGGAGGAAACUGCUUUCCUCACACACCUCUGAUCAUUGGAAACCAUGAAUACUCAACAAGAAGAAGCUGAUCGCUGUGAACUGGCAAAUUAGCCUAGGUCAGGUCACAAGAAUGGGCAUCUUUAAAGUUUGCUUUAUUGUGUCAAUAUCCCCUUCAGUGCUAUUAAAUACCAAGGAAAAAAUGAAACGCAACGAAAAUGAAGCUUGUCGUUUCC
rnacentral:lncRNA from 1 species